rnacentral:lncRNA from 1 species
CCGGUCAACGCUCGUUGGGCCACCGUCCGUUGCCUUCAUGGUGAAUGAGGCAUCGGGUGACCAGCAGAGGUCUAAGGUCGAUCCAGAACCGAAACGCGACGUUAAGAAAGUAGAGGAGGUGCGUGUUGUAAAGAGGGCUCGGUACCAGGCGUUACAGACAAAGACCCACAGCUGCUGCAGCAUGUGUUCCUUUGAUGACCUUGGCCAAGGGCAGAACCAGUGUGGAGCAACAGAUGAGCCUGGUCCAUCCGCUCUGCUGCAAACCAGCGUGGUCUCAACACCUCCUCCUAAACCAGAUGCUGGUUUAUUACAAUGCCUCCUCGUGGACCAAAUGCUGGUUUUUUACACCUCCUCCUUGACCAACUGCUGGUUUAUUACCAUACCUCCUCCUGGACCAGACGAUGGUUUAUUACCAACACCUCCUGGACCAGACUAUAGUUUAUUACCACCUCCUCCUGGACCAGACUAUAGUUUAAUACCAACACCUCCUGGCCCAGACUAUAGUAUAUUACCACCUCCUCCUGGACCAGACUAUAGUUUAAUACCAACACCUCCUGGACCAGACUAUGAUUUAUUACCACCUCUGCCUGGACCAGACUAUGGUUUAUUACUACCUCCUCCUGGACCAGAUGCUGAUUUAUUACAAUACCUCCUUGUGGACCAGAUGCUGGUUUAUUACAAUACCUCCUCCUGUACCAGCUGCUGGUUUAAUACAAUACCUCCUCCUGGACUAGACGAUGGUUUAUUACCAACACCUCCUGGACCAGACUAUAGUUUAUUACAAACACUUCCUGGACCAGACUAUGAUUUAUUACCACCUCCGCCUGGACCAGACUGUGAUUUAUUUACACCUCCUGGACCAGGCUAUGAUUUAUUACUACCUCCUCCUGGACCAGACUAUAGUUUAUUACCACCUCCUCCUGGACCAGACUAUAGUUUAAUACCAACACCUCCUGGACCAGACUAUGAUUUAUUACCACCUCCUCCUGGACCAGACUAUGGUUUAUUACCACCUCCUCCUGGACCAGACUAUUAUUUAUUACCAACACUUCCUGGACCAGACUAUGGUUUAUUACUACCUCCUCCUGGACCAGACUAUAGUUUAUUACCAACACUUACUGGACCAGACUAUGGUUUAUUACUACCUCCUCCUGGACCAGAUGGUGAUUUAUUACAAUACCUCCUUGUGGACCAGAUGCUGGUUUAUUA